UACGGGGGGAGCAAGCGUUGUUCGGAUUUACUGGGCGUAAAGGGCGCGUAGGCGGCCACCGCAAGUCGAUUGUGAAAUCUCCGGGCUUAACCCGGAAAGGUCAACCGAUACUGCGGGGCUAGAGUGCAGAAGGGGCAACUGGAAUUCUCGGUGUAGCGGUGAAAUGCGUAGAUAUCGAGAGGAACACCUGCGGCGAAGGCAGGUUGCUGGGCUGACACUGACGCUGAAGUGCGAAAGCUAGGGGAGCGAACGGG
rnacentral:rRNA from 1 species